GCACCAGCUUGCUGGUGUGGAUGAGUGGCGAACGGGUGAGUAAUACGUGAGUAACCUGCCCUUGACUCUGGGAUAAGCCCGGGAAACUGGGUCUAAUACUGGAUGCUACAUGUCACCGCAUGGUGGUGUGUGGAAAGGGUUUACUGGUCUUGGAUGGGCUCACGGCCUAUCAGCUUGUUGGUGAGGUAAUGGCUCACCAAGGCGACGACGGGUAGCCGGCCUGAGAGGGUGACCGGCCACACUGGGACUGAGACACGGCCCAGACUCCUACGGGAGGCAGCAGUGGGGAAUAUUGCACAAUGGGCGAAAGCCUGAUGCAGCGACGCCGCGUGAGGGAUGACGGCCUUCGGGUUGUAAACCUCUUUCAGCAGGGAAGAAGCCACAAGUGACGGUACCUGCAGAAGAAGCGCCGGCUAACUACGUGCCAGCAGCCGCGGUAAUACGUAGGGCGCAAGCGUUGUCCGGAAUUAUUGGGCGUAAAGAGCUCGUAGGCGGUUUGUCGCGUCUGCUGUGAAAGCCCGGGGCUUAACCCCGGGUGUGCAGUGGGUACGGGCAGACUAGAGUGCAGUAGGGGAGACUGGAAUUCCUGGUGUAGCGGUGGAAUGCGCAGAUAUCAGGAGGAACACCGAUGGCGAAGGCAGGUCUCUGGGCUGUUACUGACGCUGAGGAGCGAAAGCAUGGGGAGCGAACAGGAUUAGAUACCCUGGUAGUCCAUGCCGUAAACGUUGGGCACUAGGUGUGGGGGACAUUCCACGUUUUCCGCGCCGUAGCUAACGCAUUAAGUGCCCCGCCUGGGGAGUACGGCCGCAAGGCUAAAACUCGAAAGGAAUUGA
rnacentral:rRNA from 1 species